rnacentral:tRNA from 1 species
GUCUCAGUAGCGUAGUGGUUAGCGCACGGUCCCGGUCAGGCGCAAGACGCGGGUUCGAACCCCGCCUGAGACG